rnacentral:rRNA from 1 species
CCUACGGGAGGCAGCAGUGGGGAAUCUUGGACAAUGGGCGCAAGCCUGAUCCAGCCAUGCCGCGUGAGUGAUGAAGGCCUUAGGGUCGUAAAGCUCUUUCGCCAGAGAUGAUAAUGACAGUAUCUGGUAAAGAAACCCCGGCUAACUCCGUGCCAGCAGCCGCGUAAU